GUCUCUUCGGAGACAUCCGAUAAAAUUGGAACGAUACGGAGAAGAUUAUCAUGGCCCAUGCGCAAGGAUGACAUGCACAAAUCGAGAAAUGGUCCAAAUUUUU
rfam:Picea glauca, whole genome shotgun sequence.